rnacentral:rRNA from 1 species
GUGCCAGCCGCCGCGGUAAUACGUAGGUGGCGAGCGUUAAUCGGAUUUACUGGGCGUAAAGGGUCCGUAGGGGGUCUGCCAAGUCGGCUGUGAAAUGCCGCGGCUCAACCGCGGCACUGCACUCGAUACUGGCGGGCUUGAGUCCGCGAGGGGUGAACGGAAUUCCUGGUGUAGCGGUGGAAUGCGUAGAUAUCAGGAAGAACGCCGAUGGCGAAAGCGGUUCACUGGCGCGGCACUGACCCUGAGGGAC